rnacentral:lncRNA from 1 species
GGAGGAUCUCAUGUAUCCGAGUGGAAACACUUACAUUAAUUGUAAUACAACAUCAGUUGGAAAUUGGGACACAGACACAAAGAGAAAACAAUGUCAUGUGAAGACAGAGGCAAAGAGUGGAGUGACAGAUGUACAAGCGAAGAACCUCAAGAGCGCCGGCAGUUACCAGAAGCUUAGAGUUAGGGAAGGAUCAUCAUCUGAAGCAAGUCCUGGCCUGUCAACAUGUUGAUUUCAGACUACUAGACUCCAGAAAAGUAAGAUAAAAAAUCUUUAAUAUUUGAAGGUGCCCAAUUUGUGGUAAUUUGUUCCUGCAGCCUGAGCAAACUAACAAGCUCACUUUCAGUUCAAUUUCAUGGAAGAAUAGAACAAUCUUUUGGUCCCAUAACACAACUCCUCAGUGGAGAACUCUGAGUGAU